rnacentral:misc_RNA from 1 species
UACGUAGGUGGCAAGCGUUGUCCGGAAUUAUUGAGCGUAAAGCGCGCGCCGGCGGUCUCUUAAGUCUGAUGUGAAAGCCCACGGCUCAACCGUGGAGGGUCAUUGGAAACUGGUAGUCUAGAGGCCGAGAGAGGUGAGUGGAACUCCUAGUGUAGAGGUGGAAUUCGUAGAUAUUAGGAAGAACACCAGUGGCGAAGGCGGCUCACUGGCUCGGUACUGACGCUGAGGUACGAAAGCAUGGGGAGCAAACAGG